rnacentral:misc_RNA from 1 species
CCUAAGCGAUACGUUGAGUGACGUGUCCACACAGAUUGUCUGAUAACUGUCACGAGCAAAGCAGCCCGUCGCGGCUUUUUCCUGUUCACCCGGCGAGCAAGGUAAAAGUCAUUGGCGGCUGAGCGAAGUUACCACCGCUUUUGCGGUCAGGGUUACCCGCUUUGCCUUACUGAAAGCGGUGCCUUCCACGCCAAAGUAUCGCGAUGCCCGCGCUUUUCGAGUCCCCUUCGUCUAGUGGCCUAGGACACUGCCCUUUCACGGCGGUAACAGGGGUUCGAACCCCCUAGGGGACGCCACUUUGCUUGUUAUUUCAGAGCGCGUUUAUCAAGCGCGCUGCGAAAUACCGCUCUUUAACAAUCCGGAACAAGCUGAAAAUUUGAAACACAUGCUGAAGUGCAAACUCAGUAUGCGAGUCUCUCAAACGAAGUAAGCAAACCUGAGGUAACGCGCAAGCGUUAUCACUGUAGCGCGCAGACAGCUCAGGGUUGUGA